GUGCUUGGUAUGGCAUCACAUAUACUAAAACUGCAACAGUACAAAGAUUAGCACAGCCUCUGCACAAGGACAAUCUGCAAAUGUGUGAAGCACUCCAUAUUUUU
ensembl:snRNA U6 U6 spliceosomal RNA